UCAAACUUGGUCAUUUAGAGGAAGUAAAAGUCGUAACAAGGUUUCCGUAGGUGAACCUGCGGAAGGAUCAUUACCAAGAUUUUUUUGAUUUUCUGUCAGCAAGCUGACUAGCAAGCUGACAGUCCUCAAAAAUCUCCAUCCUUUGUUGACUUGAUGUCUAAUUCUUUGGCGAGACGUCUUUUUUUGGAAACAAAAAGGCCACUGGUGGCGUAAGCCACGAGUGUGUUGCUUGCCAAGGAUCAAACUCUUUUUAUCUUGUAGUCUGAUAAACCAAAAAAUAAAUUAAAACUUUCAACAACGGAUCUCUUGGUUCUGGCAUCGAUGAAGAACGCAGC
rnacentral:misc_RNA from 1 species